AAGAACAGCACUCAAUUAUGUCCCAAUAGACUUCAUGAUGCCUUAGGACACACUCCCAAUAUGCUCAAAGCUGUAUUUUUGAUGAAAAAUACAAGCAACCAUCAAUUUGUGCUUGCCUCAGCGAAGCGACAUGGGAUUAGAGAUGGGGCCGCAAAGCACUGUUGGAAAGCUAGGAUACCACUGACUAGGUGCAGCGAUGUUUGACUUUGACGGGCUUUUAAAAAAAACAAAAUAGGGGGGAGGUAUCUGUUUUCAGUCUGCUUUUUGUAAAUUCAGCUCAUGUUUUUUUGCAUCGUCACAAAUUAAAAAAACAUCUCGCAGGUCGACACAUCACAAUUUUAAAGCCGCAUUGUCACCAUUUACAUUUAGGUCGAUUACGUAAAAUCUCCGAUUAUUAUUAACGGAAAAAUCGAAAACUAUUUAAAAAUUGUAAAAGUUGUCUGUCUAUUGCAAGUUUCUUCGAGGAUGUGAUGAUAAUUUGGAGUGGAUGGCCUGUUUAAUAUCUAGGAUUCUAAUAGAUUCUUUCGUCUUUAAGGUUUCAGUCGGACUUUUGGAAGUAAACUGGUGACAGUGUCCAUAUUUGCGUCUUUUCUUGUGCUCUAUAAAACUUGCAUUUCAGGCCGAGUUGGUCGAGGCUGCGAACACCAAGGACGAGGAAAUCGAGAUGCUGCGCAAACAGCUCGAACAGGCUAAGAAGUAGAAGCAGAGCCGCUGGCAAAAGAUCAAGGCUCGUGGGCGCACUUUCUUCGGCCGUUAGAUACCCGCGCCUUUACACUUAUAUUUUUUUAGCUUUUUUUCGCACAAUACAGUACUAAAAAUCCUUUGAAGAAGCACAUCCCAGAAUCACAAACCACAAUACUUUUUGAAUUGCACAUAAAUAUCAUCGAACAAUCACAAAUGAGCAUCAUUCCCUCAUACCCUUUGCACCAUUGCCAACAGAACUCGAAACGGAAAGUCAACUUAUCAUCGUUUUUUUAUUUGAAUACUUAACUUUGGCCAAGGAGAUUGGCUACAGCUUGGUAGCUUUUAUAAACAAAAAAUCCAAGCGAUUCAAAAUCAGGCACUUUCAAUAAUAUAAAAAAAUUUUAAAAAGUACAUUAGCGCCCGGACAGGCGGCAGUUUGGUAUCUUGACCCUGACGAAAACCCAAACGAUCCCGAUUUGCAUUUCUUUCUUUUUUUUAUAAAUAGCCAAUUUCAUUCCGACCUCAACACUUUAGCAUUUAAACCUGAUAUUUGAGACUUGCGCGACUUUCCGGAAGAGUAACAUGAAGCAAUGGUUCAUGUUAUUCAAUAUUAAAAAUCAUUUCUUUAGUUAUAUAUGUUUCUAUUGUAUAUCUAAUUAGUUGUCUUAUGGGCUCUAAUGGGUCAAAUUGACCUGUUUCUUCGUCUAAUUAAGUACUGUAUCGUGCAGUCAUUCUGGAAUUAUUGUAAAUCACUGUAAAUAUUUUUAAAUUUUCAUGACCAAUAAUAUGGCGCAGCAUUGGUGUCUAUUGAGUAAUCUUGAAUACAAGACAAUGGUACUUUUGUGCUCUCAUGUCAAGGAGUGGGCAACGAACAUUGAGAUUUUGUAUAUAAAUGCUAGCAAUCCUA